AUACUAUUCUUUUUGUUCUGAAUUAUUUGUCGCAGCUAUGAAUGUAUUUAGAUAUAUUUUAGUUCUAGAUACAUUCAUUUCUGCGACGAAUAAUUUAAAACGGAAAGAGUAGUAG
rnacentral:pre_miRNA from 1 species